rnacentral:rRNA from 1 species
AGCACUGUAGGUGUCAGCAGCCGCGGUAAGACGUAGGGUCCAAGCGUUGUCCGGAUUUACUAGGCGUAAAGAGCGCGUAGGCGGCUCGUUAAGUGUAGAGUGAAAUCUCUGGGCUCACCCCAGAAACUGCUCUGCAUACUGGCGAGCUGGAGGGAUGAAGAGGCUUGUGGAAUUCCUGGUGUAGCGGUGAAAUGCGUUGAUAUCAGGAGGAACACCCAUGGCGAAGGCAGCAAGCUGGUCAUCACCUGACGCUGAGGCGCGAAAGCGUGGGUAGCAAACAGGAUUAGAUACCCUGGUAGUCCACGCCCUAAACGAUGGAUACUAGGCGUAAGGGGUAUCGACCCCCUUGUGCCGCAGCUAACGCACUAAGUAUCCCGCCUGGGGAGUACGGCCGCAAGGUUGAAACUCAAAGGAAUUGACGGG